AAAGCGUUUAAAGGCAGCUCCAGCGCUUUGGCAAUGCUGGGAAGCCAAGCUUCCUCUUGGCAGGGUUUCGAAGUGGUGUCAGGCUGCUUCUGAACCCCACUGCAGUUGAAGUGCUGACUGCAAACAGUCCAGCUUCGGAGAAAAUAUCUCCGUUCCUGGUGAUGAUAGGAAGAUCAGUACCCACCCUGUGUUUACAGAGCAAUUGCUGCACUGAACAAGAUGUUGAAAGAUCUCAGGUUUGGACACAAAAGAAAGGAUACAUCUUUAAAGAAGCCUGACUCCUUUCCUCAUGUGUUAAGAUAA